rnacentral:rRNA from 1 species
GAUGAACGCUGGCGGCGUGCCUAAUACAUGCAAGUCGAGCGAACAGACGAGGAGCUUGCUCCUCUGACGUUAGCGGUGGACGGGUGAGUAACACGUGGAUAACCUACCUAUAAGACUGGGAUAACUUCGGGAAACCGGAGCUAAUACCGGAUAACAUGUUGAACCGCAUGGUUCAACAGUGAAAGACGGUCUUGCUGUCACUUAUAGAUGGAUCCGCGCCGCAUUAGCUAGUUGGUAAGGUAACGGCUUACCAAGGCAACGAUGCGUAGCCGACCUGAGAGGGUGAUCGGCCACACUGGAACUGAGACACGGUCCAGACUCCUACGGGAGGCAGCAGUAGGGAAUCUUCCGCAAUGGGCGAAAGCCUGACGGAGCAACGCCGCGUGAGUGAAGAAGGUCUUCGGAUCGUAAAACUCUGUUAUUAGGGAAGAACAAAUGUGUAAGUAACUAUGCACGUCUUGACGGUACCUAAUCAGAAAGCCGCGGCUAACUACGUG